GACAGAGGGUGCAAACGUUGUUCGGAAUUACUGGGCGUAAAGCGCGUGUAGGCGGCGCCGUAAGUCGGAUGUGAAAGCCCGGGGCUCAACCCCGGAAGCGCAUUCGAAACUGCGAUGCUGGAGUCCCGGAGAGGAAGGCGGAAUGCUUGGUGUAGAGGUGAAAUUCGUAGAUAUCAAGCAGAACACCUGUGGCGAAGGCGGCCUUCUGGACGGUGACUGACGCUGAGACGCGAAAGCGUGGGGAGCAAACAGG
rnacentral:rRNA from 1 species